rnacentral:rRNA from 1 species
UACAGAGGUCUCAAGCGUUGUUCGGAUUCAUUGGGCGUAAAGGGUGCGUAGGCGGCGCGGUAAGUCGGGUGUGAAAUCUCGGAGCUUAACUCCGAAACUGCAUUCGAUACUGCCGUGCUUGAGGACUGGAGAGGAGACUGGAAUUUACGGUGUAGCGGUGAAAUGCGUAGAUAUCGUAAGGAAGACCAGUGGCGAAGGCGGCUCUCUGGAACGCAACUGACGCUGAGACGCGAAAGCGUGGGGAGCAAACAGG